AUGAGGAUGGGAUGGCUGAAGCAACUGACUCACCUACCGAUGAGGUCCCGGGACAACUGGCAAAAAGUUGGCAAAGAAAGACUGAGAGGACUGCAGGACCAUGUCAUUUGGAGGACAUCAAGCUAUUUGAUACCUGGCAAUCUGGAUGAAAAAUCCUCUACAAGACCUUCAGAGGGCUCCAUCAUCUGGGAGAACAACAAGAAUUCCAAAUUGGGGAAUAUGUGA
rnacentral:lncRNA from 10 species